rnacentral:rRNA from 1 species
CGCGAGGGAAAGAUGAAAAGAACUUUGAAAAGAGAGUUAAAAAGUGCUUGAAAUUGUUGGGAGGGAAGGGAUUGGAGGUCGUGGGUGCGCCCAGGCUCACGCCGGCCGUGCGGCCGGCUGUAUGUGCUGGGUGCUGGUCAGCAUCGGUUAGUCGGGCGGGACAACAGCGGCCUUUGAUCGGCCGCCCCUGUCGCCCGGCUGUCCGAGGAAUGAAGGGCGCUCUGGCCUUCGGGACCUGCGCUCUCAGGAUGCUGGCGGAAGGCCUCCAAUCUGCCCGUCUUGAAACACGGACCAAGGAGUACAACAUGCAUGCGAGCUGGUGGGCGGAAAACCCACGAAGCGCAAGUAACCUGACUGGUGGGAUGGCCUGUGCCUGCACCAUCAACCGACCAUGAUCUUCUGUGAAAGGUUUGAGUGCGAGCAUGUUUGUUGUGACCCGAAAGAUGGUGAACUAUGCCUGAGCAGGGCGAAGCCAGAGGAAACUCUGGU